GCUAAAGUCACCCCAUUCAACCAUCCUGGGAGUCUUGACACAUGGUAACAGGGAUAUAAUAAAUGUGUAUGUAUUACACCACUAAGUUUGAGGGUCUUGGUCCAGGAAGGGAUUCUGGGGAAGUCCACUUGAAUGUCCUGCUGAAAAAUCUUACAAUGUUUGACUUCCAAAGGGGAAGUACUACUCUGUGACUUAAGGAGAAAUUAUUAUUGCUGCUGCUACUGCUAAUACCAUCCUAGACUGUGCCAACCUUUAACACAUUGGAAGAGUGACAUUCUAAGAAAAUGAGUUACUUGUCAAAGUAAGAACUUGCUAAUGUAAGCGGGAGAACCAAAAUUCGAACCUGUUCUUUUCAUGCUGAAAA